AACCUUCACCUCGUCACCAAGUUUUUCCUUUUGUUUUCUUAGCUCCUCCUCCUCCUCCUCCUCCUCCCUUACCUCAAGCUUUCUUUAUUUACUGUUUGAUUUCAACUAUUUCUUUGAUCAGAUCUCUCUAAGCUAGAGAAAUGAAGAAAGCUGGGUUGAAAUUGGGUUUCCACGAUGACAAAGCCAAGAAAAAAGCCAUGAAGACAGCCUCUAGUCUUUCAGGGGACGUUGAUCCCAUAGUGGCCAAAUCGAGAAAGCUGUGCGGCGCAGAAAUGGUUACAGCACGACCAGCAAAAGAGUCUGGAAAGAGAAAAGCCGAGCCCAAGAAAGAACAGUAAAAGAAGCAAGAAGAUCAGAAGAUAGCACACCAUGUAGCUGAGCUGGUCAAGGCUUACGAGGCCUAUAAUCCUCGUACGACCACCUAGACGGUGUCGCUGAGCUGAUCAGAAGAGGAAAACCCAGAUGCUUGUGUCAUCUCUUAGUUUGUCAAUCACAUGUUAAAAAGAAAUCUAUUAUAGAAAGAUGAAAUAAGUGAAAGAAAAAUAUAGUUUUGUUGGAGAUUUUCGAACAUUUGGGUGGUUAUUACAACUUCAUUAGCGAUUAGACUACCGCUGUAUAAAAGUUGAAGUGAUUUUUCAUUAA